rnacentral:rRNA from 1 species
UACGGAGGGUGCGAGCGUUGUCCGGAAUCACUGGGCGUAAAGGGCGCGUAGGCGGCCUGAUAAGUAGGGGGUGAAAUCCUGCGGCUUAACCGCAGGGCUGCCUUCUAAACUGUCAGGCUGGAGCACAGUAGAGGCAGGUGGAAUUCCCGGUGUAGCGGUGGAAUGCGUAGAGAUCGGGAAGAACAUCAGUGGCGAAGGCGGGUCUCUGGACAGUUCCUGACACUGAGACACGAAGGCCAGGGGAGCAAACGGG